UUACAGUUCACAGUUUAAUAGGAGUGGUGGGGAAAACACAAAUAAACAAAUGAAAGAAAGCAUCUGCACAUUGUAACGGACAAUUAGCUGAGCCAGAAAAAGACUGAGAGCUUUAACUUCAGGUGAAAUGAAUAGGGAAAGGCUCUCCAAGGAGGCAAAUUUCAUCCAAGAAGAAAGAAAAGAAAGGGAGUAAGGAAAGGACCCCAAGCAGAAAGAAAAGAUUAGGCAAAACCCCCAAGGCAGGAGGGAACAUAGAAAAUUCAAGAAACCCAAAAUGGAUGGAAUUAAUGAGUGAAGGGACAUGACAUAAUUUGGCCAAAAGAGACUGGAAGGGUAGACAGGCCACACUGCCUGGGUCCUGCAGGCCGUGGUGGGUGUUUGUCUUGAUGUUAAGCAGGGGAGACUUUUGAAGGCUCCUGAGCCUGAGGAUAGCAUGACCUAGUUUGGCCUAGAAAUCUCCCUGACAGCAGUGGGAGUUCUGCAGUCAGCCUGAACAUGGAAUUCAGUUUCUUAGUGAAUUCGUCCAUGGGCAAGAGCCUUUAGAGGUGAAACGAUCUGGGAGAGAAGGAAGGAUGGAGGGAAGAGAGAAGGAAGGUUGGAGGGAGAGAGGGAGGAAAAAGAAAGGGGAAAACAGCCUCUGUUAGAACCCAGGACCCAGAGACAGAUGGCCUCUGCCUCUCUGCACCUGCCCACCCCAACCUCCCAGGAGCUGCAUAUAGU
ensembl:lncRNA